UACAGAGGGUGCAAGCGUUAAUCGGAGUUACUGGGCGUAAAGGGCGCGUAGGCGGUGAUACAAGUGAGAUGUGAAAUCCCUGGGCUUAACCGAGGAACUGCGUCCGAUACUGAAAGGCUUGAAUCCGGGAGAGGGAUGUGGAAUUCCAGGUGUAGCGGUGAAAUGCGUAGAUAUCUGGAGGAACACCGGUGGCGAAGGCGGCAUCCUGGACCGGUAUUGACGCUGAGGCGCGAAAGCUAGGGGAGCAAACGGG
rnacentral:rRNA from 1 species